rnacentral:rRNA from 1 species
GACGAACGCUGGCGGCGUGCUUAACACAUGCAAGUCGAACGGAAAGGCCCUGCUUUUGUGGGGUGCUCGAGUGGCGAACGGGUGAGUAACACGUGAGUAACCUGCCCUUGACUUUGGGAUAACUUCAGGAAACUGGGGCUAAUACCGGAUAGGAGCUCCUGCUGCAUGGUGGGGGUUGGAAAGUUUCGGCGGUUGGGGAUGGACUCGCGGCUUAUCAGCUUGUUGGUGGGGUAGUGGCUUACCAAGGCUUUGACGGGUAGCCGGCCUGAGAGGGUGACCGGCCAAAUUGGGACUGGGAUACGGCCCAGCCUCCUACGGGAGGAAGAAGUGGGGAAAAUUGAACAAGGGGCGGAAGCCUGAUGCAGCAACGCCGCGUGGGGGAGGACGGCCUUCGGGUGGUAAACCGCUUUCGCCUGUGACGAAGAGGGAGUGACGGUAAUGGGUAAAGAAGCACGGGCUAACUACGU